rnacentral:snRNA from 1 species
AUACUUUACCUGACAGGGGAAAUACUGUGAACACAAAGGUGGUUUACUCAGGGCGAGUCUUAUCCAUUGCACUCUGGAUGGCUCACCCCUGUGAUUUCCCCAAAUAUGGGAAACUCAAAAGCAUAAUUUGUAGUCACAAGGGAUAGCAUUUGUGUUCUCACCUG